GCGUCGUGCUGGCGUGAAGUGGUAGCGUCCGCUCCGAGAACCUGAAGGAGAAUUGGAGGCACCUGGGCCGCGCUGCUUGGGCCGUUGGGAGUCGCCGCUGCCGCCACUGCCCGCACUCCAUGAGGAAGAUGCUCGCCGCCGUCUCCCGCGUGUUGUUGGGCGUCGCCCAGAAGCCGGCAAGCAGAGUGCUGGUGGCAUCCCGUAAUUUUGCAAAUGAUGCUACAUUUGAAAUUAAGAAAUGUGAUCUUCACCGGCUGGAAGAGGGCCCUCCUGUCACUACGGUGCUCACCAGGGAGGAUGGGCUCAAAUACUACAGGAUGAUGCAGACUGUUCGUCGAAUGGAGUUAAAAGCAGAUCAGCUAUAUAAACAGAAAAUUAUUCGUGGUUUCUGUCACUUGUGUGAUGGUCAGGAAGCUUGUUGUGUGGGCCUGGAGGCCGGCAUAAACCCCACAGACCAUCUGAUCACAGCAUAUCGGGCUCACGGCUUUACGUUUACUCGUGGGCUUUCUGUCCGAGCAAUUCUCGCAGAGCUUACAGGACGAAGAGGAGGUUGUGCUAAAGGAAAAGGAGGAUCGAUGCAUAUGUACGCCAAGAACUUCUACGGGGGCAAUGGCAUCGUGGGAGCUCAGGUGCCCCUGGGAGCUGGGAUUGCUCUGGCCUGUAAGUAUAACGGAAAAGAUGAAAUCUGUUUGACUUUGUAUGGUGAUGGCGCUGCUAAUCAGGGUCAGAUAUUCGAAGCUUACAAUAUGGCGGCUUUGUGGAAAUUGCCUUGUAUUUUCAUCUGUGAGAAUAACCGCUAUGGGAUGGGAACAUCUGUGGAGAGAGCAGCAGCCAGCACUGAUUACUACAAGAGAGGCGACUUCAUUCCUGGGCUGAGGGUAGAUGGAAUGGAUAUCCUGUGUGUCCGGGAGGCCACAAGGUUUGCAGCUGCCUAUUGUAGAGCUGGAAAGGGGCCCAUACUGAUGGAGCUGCAGACUUACCGUUACCAUGGGCACAGCAUGAGUGAUCCUGGAGUCAGUUACCGUACACGAGAAGAAAUUCAGGAAGUUAGAAGUAAGAGCGACCCUAUCAUGCUUCUCAAGGAUAGGAUGGUGAACAGCAAUCUGGCCAGUGUUGAAGAACUAAAGGAAAUUGAUGUUGACGUGAGAAAAGAAAUUGAGGAUGCUGCCCAGUUUGCUACAGCUGACCCUGAACCACCUUUGGAAGAACUCGGCUAUCACAUCUACUGCAGCGAUCUGCCUUUUGAAGUCCGGGGUGCAAACCAGUGGAUCAAGUUUAAGUCCAUCAGUUAAUGCGAGAUGGUACACCUUCAGUUGGGUAUUCAGCAGCAACUGUAAGGAAUGCUUUGGGUUCUCAACUUUGUUAAGGAGGAAGAAAACCCAUAGAAAGAAAGUGUAGAUUUAGAUAGAUAGAUAGAUAGUGUAAUUGCAUGUGGUUUGUACAGUGUUGCAUUAAAAGAUACAACGUCUUUUAAUGUUAUAUCUUAAGGAUAGUAUGGAUCUUAUUAUAAAGGUUAUUUUAGUUAUAUAGGUCUAAAAUAGGUAAUAAGAGUUUGCUUAACCCUCCUUCAAAUUACUUCUUUAAAAUAGUUCUAUUUGGUUUAGUUGUAUACUCGUUUAACAAAUACUUUUUUAGUUACUAAAAGGAGAAACAAUUCCUUAUAUGCCUGUCCAACUCUGCCACCUUUUUGUGGGGCGAUCAUUGUCCUGUCCCUCCCAGUGCCCAGCAGCUUACCUGGUGUACCCUAACGUGCACACACGCCCCCAUUUGUGUGCAUGUCGGUGCUGAAGCCUGUUGACACUGAACCAUCAUUUCUCCUUAAUAAAACACAAUAUUUAUUAUAACCAGGCAGGGGUGGAAGGACAAUUCGAUUUUUAAAUAAGACUACUUCAUUUUGAAGGCCAAAUAAGUUAGUUUUCUCCAUUUAUACAUUAAGUAUAAAUAUGAAGCUAUUUUCUUAAUAGUUUUCUAUUUACAGUCAUAUCAAACAUUAAAUACAAGGCAUUAAAUACAAGGCAUAUUCUUAUCAAUUUUAUCUUUUUUGAAUUUUAAGUGCAAUUCCAGUUAAUAGUAAUGUAUGGAAUGUGUGAUCUAAAACAGUGAUUCCCAGCCUUUUUGUUAUUUUAAACACCUGUUGUUUCACCUUUCCAGCAGAUAUUUUUCCAUUGAAGUAAAUUAAAAUUCAUUUUUAAGGAUUCCCUAAUACUCUGGGAUGUCAAGACCAGGUUUUACAAUCACUGUUUUCACAAUACAUACAAGUUCUACUCACCUUGAAAACAUGCUGAUAAAUAAAAGGUUAAAAUUUUUUCCAUCAUUCUUUAAAACUCCAAGUUCUUAAAUUGUGCAUUGAACAAGCGGUGUUUUCCUUGCGUAAGUGCAGCAGAAUUCGUGUGUAUGUUGUCAGCUCUUUGCUCCCUCCUCAUCUUGGGUUGCCGGGGCCCCCUGAGCCUGUCUUCUGUACUGGGAGACUGCAGUCCAGAGCCUGCAGAGGAGACCACCACUACGAAACAAACAGGAGUCUUCUUUAGAGAGUCGUAAGAGAAGACAACUUCAAAGCAACACAGCAGAAUACUUCUUUAGGAGCCCUUAUGGCAAAAGCUAUAGUAUAUCCUUCCAGACUUGUCUAGAUUUGUUGUCUAGUCUUAAAAAUGCAGUCCCUAACUUGAAAACUUACUUAACUAAAACAGGAAUAUGUUCUCUUCACAUAUGGAGGUGACACUUGUGCCUUAGCAGGAGUGGGACAUGGCCCGAGAGGUACUGUACAGGAGUGCUGCUGCAUCUGUGCAGAGCAGACUAUUUAAGAUGACGUGGGGAUGAGAAGGCAGGGUGCAAGUUAAAGAAAGAAGGCUUUGGGUGUAGUAGCCCACUAGCAUCUCAUGUCUCGCUUCACUCCACUCCCAGCCAGGCCUGUCUCUUGACUUUUUCUACUGGGCCUUUAGCUUCUGCCCCCUCUCAGCUUUUCCCCAACUUCAACCUUGAAAAACUCCAGAGUUUGGAGUGAGGUUGGUAGUUUUUUUCCUGACUGAGCCAUAGAAAAGGGAGUUAACGUUAAUGAAGGGGGGAAAGUUACGUUACCAGCACUUUGUUUUCUACUGCUUUACUUAAAAGCCUAAUUACAGGGGCUUCCCUGGUGGCGCAGUGGUUGAGAGUCCGCCUGCCGAUGCGGGGGACACGGGUUCGUGCCCCGCUCCGGGAAGAUCCCACAUGCCGCGGAGCGGCUGGGCUCGUGAGCCAUGGCCGCUGAGCCUGCGCGUCCGGAGCCUGUGCUCCGCAACGGGAGAGGCCACAGCAGUGAGAGGCCCGCGUACCGCAAAAAAAAAGCCUAAUUACACCAAAAAAGUCAUUUUCUGUUCCACGAAGUGUUUUGAGGCUAUUCUUACCGUAGUCUAAGGUACCUUAGGUCUUCCUUAGUGAUAUAAUUAAGAAUAUCAGAAAGUGUAUAACCUUCUUCAAGAAUCUGAAACAAAGAUCAAAUACAUUAAGAGCUAAGCAGCUCUGUAAUGAUAGCACAGGAAUGGUUUGUUGGUUGUAAGUUUACCUUUUCAAUUGUUUUCGUAUCCGCUCCUUGCCGUUGCAACCAGUCGACAAGCUCUUCUUCUGUUCUCUGCCCAUAAGACCGAGGAGGGGAGGCUGAGUUCUCUGUAAUCUCUGUAAGGAUUAGAAAGUUAUGUUGUAUACUGAUGUGUAACAGCAAAAUUCUUCAAGUAACAAGUUGGAGCAAAUAAACUAUUAUUCCAGAA